GAAAGAGGAGUCCUGCAGAAGAGGGAAUGAGAGGAUCAUAAAGAAAAAGAAGAAAGAUCCUGAGGAGAGAGAAUCACUGUUGUGAGGGGUUUCAAACACUUCCUUUUCCCUGGUCAAGGAGAGCUUUCACAAGAAGGAGGCUGCUGGUGCAUUGCACAGGGGAAACAAAGAGCCGCCAACAGAGAAAAGCAAACCUGCACCUUUCAGAGUGUGUGUGGGACUGUGGACUCCUAUUGACUUCUGUGGCUCUUGGAUCACAGUUGUCUCAAACCCAGUCAGCAGCAGUCUGUUUAAAGAAGCUUGCCCUUGAGCUGAGAGUAAGGAUGAUGAAUUGCAUAAAGGAGAGCUUUUCAGUUUGAAGCAUUUGAAGUUCACUGAUUACAGGCAAGUGGAUUGAACUUGUUGUCCUGAAGAACUCUGGCCCACAAGCACUUGGAUCUACUGUUUGUGUUCCCUCACCUUUUCCUGGGGAGGUGAAGUGCAUGUGGCUGCAUUAUAAUUAUAGACAAGGAUUGCUUGAAGAAACUGAAACAUCAGCUUUCAAAUAAAACCUGGAAACCACAAUCUAGAAGCAGCCACAAAAACUGGAUCCCCAGUAGCUUUCAGAGGGUAGUACUAUUGGAAAAGAUUUAUGAAGUCUUGCUUUUUCACAUUGACUCAUGUGAUUUUGUUGCAUUUAUUUCAGUGCACAAUGGGGACCCAGUUGAAUACCUCGUGACUUCCAUGUGAUCCCACUGCUGGAUCUUCCUUUGGGCUCCAUGGUAUUGGGUAUUGGUCUGGGUGAGGAAGGGGAAAGCUGGUGCAAAGAUCUUUUCUUUACCUGACAUAUGAUGAUACCUAAGCAAGAAGCUGUAUUAAA